AUGAACGCUAGCGGCAGGCUUAAUACAUGCAAGUCGAACGGGAUUCGAGGUAGCAAUACUUUGAUGAGAGUGGCGCACGGGUGCGUAACGCGUAUGCAACCUACCUUUAACAGGGAGAUAGCCCCGAGAAAUCGGGAUUAAUAUUCCAUAACAUUGCAGUGUGGCAUCACACAGCAAUUAAAGCUCCGGCGGUUAAAGAUGGGCAUGCGUGACAUUAGCUAGUUGGUGAGGUAACGGCUCACCAAGGCAACGAUGUCUAGGGGUCCUGAGAGGGUUAUCCCCCACACUGGUACUGAGACACGGACCAGACUCCUACGGGAGGCAGCAGUAAGGAAUAUUGGUCAAUGGGCGCAAGCCUGAACCAGCCAUGCCGCGUGCAGGAAGACGGCCCUAUGGGUUGUAAACUGCUUUUGUCAGGGAAUAAACCUAUCUACGUGUAGAUAGCUGAAGGUACCUGAAGAAUAAGCAUCGGCUAACUCCGUG
rnacentral:rRNA from 1 species